GAGUGAACGCUGGCGGUAGACCUAACACAUGCAAGUCGAACGGCAGCACAGUAAGAGCUUGCUCUUACGGGUGGCGAGUGGCGGACGGGUGAGGAAUACAUCGGAAUCUACUUUUUCGUGGGGGAUAACGUAGGGAAACUUACGCUAAUACCGCAUACGACCUACGGGUGAAAGCAGGGGAUCUUCGGACCUUGCGCGAUUGAAUGAGCCGAUGUCGGAUUAGCUAGUUGGCGGGGUAAAGGCCCACCAAGGCGACGAUCCGUAGCUGGUCUGAGAGGAUGAUCAGCCACACUGGAACUGAGACACGGUCCAGACUCCUACGGGAGGCAGCAGUGGGGAAUAUUGGACAAUGGGCGCAAGCCUGAUCCAGCCAUACCGCGUGGGUGAAGAAGGCCUUCGGGUUGUAAAGCCCUUUUGUUGGGAAAGAAAAGCAGCAGGUUAAUACCCCGCUGUUCUGACGGUACCCAAAGAAUAAGCACCGGCUAACUUCGUG
rnacentral:rRNA from 1 species